ACGAACGCUGGCGGCAGGCCUAACACCUGCAAGUCGCGCGCCCUUUCGGGGGAGCGGCGGACGGGUGAGUAACGCGUGGGAAUAUGCCCUUCUCUACGGAAUAGCCUCGGGAAACUGAGAGUAAUACCGUAUACGCCCUAUGGGGGAAAGAUUUAUCGGGGAAGGAUUAGCCCGCGUUGGAUUAGGUAGUUGGUGGGGUAAUGGCCUACCAAGCCGACGAUCCAUAGCUGGUUUGAGAGGAUGAUCAGCCACACUGGGACUGAGACACGGCCCAGACUCCUACGGGAGGCAGCAGUGGGGAAUCUUAGACAAUGGGGGCAACCCUGAUCGAGCCAUGCCGCGUGAGUGAUGAAGGCCUUAGGGUUGUAAAGCUCUUUCAGCUGGGAAGAUAAUGACGGUACCAGCAGAAGAAGCCCCGGCUAACUCCGUG
rnacentral:rRNA from 1 species